UACACAAUCAAAGAAAACAAAAUUUGAUUAAUAAAAUUUUUUUUAAUUUUUUUAAUUUCGCUUAAUAUUCGUAAGAUUUACUUUUGAGUUCAGUUGAUAUAUUCCCGGACGUGAUUUUCGUUUCUGCCAAUUCUUUAUCGGACGCUAAAUUUAUUAAAAAGAUAAAUCAUCGACGGUUAUGAGAAAAUCUGCUCUCGUUUUCACCAACUCUUGCUUAGCCUCUGCUCAUAAUAAAAACCGAAAAUUUUUUAACAAUUUUUUU